rnacentral:rRNA from 1 species
AGAGUUUGAUCCUGGCUCAGAACGAACGCUGGCGGCGUGGAUAAGACAUGCAAGUCGAGCGCUGAUUUCAAGGUAGCAAUAUUUUGAAGUCGGAGCGGCGCAAGGGUGCGUAACACGUGGGUAAUCUGCCAUGAAGUUUGGGAUAACUCGCUGAAAGGCGAGCUAAUACCGGAUGUGACAACUGGAAGGCAUCUUUUGGUUGUCAAAGCUGGGGACCGUAAGGCCUGGCGCUUCUUGAUGAGCCCGCGGCCUAUCAGCUAGUUGGUGAGGUAACGGCUCACCAAGGCUAAGACGGGUAGCUGGUCUGAGAGGACGACCAGCCACACUGGAACUGAGACACGGUCCAGACACCUACGGGUGGCAGCAGUCGAGAAUUUUUCACAAUGGGCGCAAGCCUGAUGGAGCGACGCCGCGUGGGGGAUGAAUGGCUUCGGCCCGUAAACCCCUGUCAUUCGCGAUCAAACCUUAUUAUUUAAAAGAUGAUAAGCUGAUAGUAGCGGAAGAGGAAGGGACGGCUAACUCUGUGCCAGCAGCCGCGGUAAUACAGAGGUCCCAAGCGUUGUUCGGAUUCACUGGGCGUAAAGGGUGCGUAGGUGGUCAGGUAAGUCGGAUGUGAAAUCUCGGAGCUCAACUCCGAAACUGCAUUGGAAACUACCUGGCUCGAGGGUUGGAGGGGGGACUGGAAUUCUCGGUGUAGCAGUGAAAUGCGUAGAUAUCGAGAGGAACACCAGUGGCGAAGGCGAGUCCCUGGACAACUCCUGACACUGAGGCACGAAAGCUAGGGGAGCAAACAGGAUUAGAUACCCUAGUAGUCC